rnacentral:rRNA from 1 species
UACGUAGGGGGCAAGCGUUGUCCGGAAUCAUUGGGCGUAAAGAGCGUGUAGGCGGCUUGGUAAGUCCGCUGUGAAAGUCCAGGGCUCAACCCUGGAAAGCCGGUGGAAACUGUCAAGCUUGAGUCCGGAAGAGGCGAGUGGAAUUCCUGGUGUAGCGGUGAAAUGCGCAGAUAUCAAGGAGGAACACCAAUGGCGAAGGCAGCUCGCUGGGACGGUACUGACGCUGGAGACGCGAAAGCGUGGGGAGCAAACAGG